rnacentral:rRNA from 1 species
AGUUUUUUUAAUCAUUAGAAAAUAUAAUCUGCCCAUUGAAAAUAUUUUUUUUUAAAAGGCCGCAGUAUAUUGACUGUGCAAAGGUAGCAUAAUCAUUAGAUUUUUAAUUGGGAUCUUGAAUGAAUGGUUAAAUGAAAUAUAAACUUUUUUAAUUUUAUUAUUUGAAUUUUAUUUAUAAGUAAAAAAUCUUAUUUUAAAAAAUGGGACGAGAAGACCCUAUAGAAUUUUAUAAAUUUGAUUAAUUUAUUAUUAAUAUUUAAUUUAUUAUUUUAAAUUUUAUUUUGUUGGGGAGAUAGUUAAAUUUUUAAAACUUUAAUAAAAAAAAUCAUUUAUUAAUGUUAAAUUGAUCCUUUUAUAUUGAUUAUAAAAUUAAAUUACCUUAGGGAUAACAGCAUAAUAAUUUUAAUAAGUUCUUAUUUUUAAAGUAGUUUAUGACCUCGAUGUUGAAUUAAAAUAAUUAUUUUAUGAAGGGAUAAAAUAAAUAAGUCUGUUCGACUUUUAAAUUUUUACAUGAUUUGAGUUCAA